GGGGUAGGACGUCGCUCCAACCCCUGUGACAUACCUAUACGUUGCCUCGGCGGAUCAGCCCGCGCCCCGUAAAAAGGGACGGCCCGCCCGAGGACCCCUAAACUCUGUUUUUAGUGGAACUUCUGAGUAAAACAAACAAAUAAAUCAAAACUUUCAACAACGGAUCUCUUGGUUCUGGCAUCGAUGAAGAACGCAGCAAAAUGCGAUAAGUAAUGUGAAUUGCAGAAUUCAGUGAAUCAUCGAAUCUUUGAACGCACAUUGCGCCCGCCAGUAUUCUGGCGGGCAUGCCUGUUCGAGCGUCAUUUCAACCCUCAAGCUCAGCUUGGUGUUGGGACUCGCGGUAACCCGCGUUCCCCAAAUCGAUUGGCGGUCACGUCGAGCUUCCAUAGCGUAGUAAUCAUACACCUCGUUACUGGUAAUCGUCGCGGCCACGCCGUAAAACCCCAACUUCUGAAUGUUGACCUCGGAUCAGGUAGGAAUACCCGCUGAACUUAAGCAUAUCAAAAGCCGGAGGAA
rnacentral:rRNA from 1 species